UUGAAGAUAAAAAAAUUUUAUAAAAAACUAGGAUUAGAUACCCUAUUAUAAAAAGUAAGUUUGCGUUUAAGCAAAUUUUAAUGGCGGCAUUUUAACUCUUUAGAGGAAUUUGUUUAAUAAAGGAUAAAACGCCUAAAUCUUACUUAAAUUAGAAAAUCAGUUUGUAUAUCGUUAUAUUUAAAUUAAUAAAAUUUAAUGGUUAAUAAUGUAAUAAAAAAUAAAAUAAAUUAAAUCAAGAUACAGCUUAUAUUUAAGAAAAUUAUGAAUUAUAUAAAUUUUUAUUUAACAAGAUUAUUUUAAAAAUUAAAAUAAUUAAGUAAGAUUUAAUAGUAAAAUUAUAAAAUUAUUAAAAUUUGAAUUGAGCUCUAGAAUGUGCACAUAUCGCCCGUCACUUUCAUUAAAGUGAAAUAAGUCGUAACAAAGUAAAAAUACUGGAAAGUAUUUUUAAAA
rnacentral:rRNA from 1 species